rnacentral:lncRNA from 1 species
CUUUGGGACAUGGUUUAGUGGGCAAUAUUGGAGGUAAAUGGAAAGCUGGACUAGAUGAUAUUAGUGGCCUUUUCCUACCUAGAUCAUUCUAUGAUUGUAUGAUUCUGUGAUUUGUGCAGGCAAUGUAUGGGGUAGGUCAGCUGGUUUGUUGCCUUUCAGGAGAGUCACAUUACAUCCUAAUAAUAUAAUUUAGUUUUUUGUCGAGGGAAUUUACCAGGGUUGGUAUUAAGCCCUCUAUUUUCUUUUUUUUUUUUUUUUCCUGACUAGAUAGAAAUAUGGGUUAUUCCUGAGUAGAGGAUGCUAUUACAGCAAACAUGAGACCAGGCCACAGCCCUGAUGACCUGGUAGGGGCUUUGCUGCAGGCAGUGAGUGUGGAUCUCUGCUGUAAAGAGAGAUAAAGGAGUAAUGGAUGACAUGGGAUAUUUUAGGACAUUUCAACCAUUAACCAAAUGGGGCCAUUCUGAGUGCAGAGCAUCCAUUUUGCACAGGAAGAAGUGCCAGAAGUAGGCUCUGAUGGCCAAGGUGACAGCUGGUGGCUCAUCUAAUGGGCUACCCAGGCUCUGCUUGGCCAAUAUGUGCCAGUCCUGCCCUGUUCCUCUCCAUUCCCUUUCCCCAGGUCCCUCUCCCUGUCUGGGCUAUUGAAGGGAGCAGUGCCAUAGGGACGAUCAUCACAAGGCCUCAGGCUGAGCUGCACACCAUGCUUCAGCAAGGCAGACAACCCAAAAUGUAUUUGGUGCAUUUUCAGUCAAAAACAGCCCACGAAAUAUGUAUUUUCAUUACAACAGCCACUUCACUUUGAUUGAAUCAGGCAUUCAUUCUUGAGCAGUUCUCUCUGAUACAGCAAAGGGUUUUGCCACUGUUGUGGUUUAGGUGUGUUUUCCAGCCAUUGGCAUCAAGGUGGGUCACAAGACAGAGGACAGAUCCACAUCAUCCAGCUUUGCUUUGUUUUACUGGCAAAUGAGUCACUAAUUGCUCCUGUCAGAGGUAAGAUGCUGGGAAAGCAGGGAAACCCCUCUCCACUUACUGCUUGCAAAGAGUCAGGCUGAUCUCAAUUCAUCUGUUAUUGUCAAUUUGCAUGGACUGGUUUUCAGUAGUGACUUGUUUCUGUUGGACCCACUCCUGAGCAUAGGCACAAAGUACACAGGGUAAGGGAAGGAUGCACGGCUGAGUGAUGUACUGCCUUGCUCAAGCUGUUGGGAUUGGUAGACUGUACCUGCCAUCAUAAGGUUGAGCCAUUCCAGACUACAGAGCUUCCUCUCUUGAUGUCUGUUAUCAAGAUGGAGGUUUCAAAACAUUCGUAUCUUUAGGUGCAAGUGAGAAAGAGUUGCUGAAUUGUUUCCUCCUGGGAAAUAUUGUGGAGUAUGAAUAAACUUUGGGUUGAGCUAACUGUGUCUGUUUGC